rnacentral:rRNA from 1 species
AUUGAACGCUGGCGGCAGGCUUAACACAUGCAAGUCGAACGGCAGCACGGACUUCGGUCUGGUGGCGAGUGGCGAACGGGUGAGUAAUGUAUCGGAACGUGCCCAGUCGUGGGGGAUAACGUAGUGAAAAUUACGCUAAUACCGCAUACGAUCUAUGGAUGAAAGCGGGGGAUCGCAAGACCUCGCGCGAUUGGAGCGGCCGAUAUCAGAUUAGGUAGUUGGUGGGGUAAAGGCCCACCAAGCCAACGAUCUGUAGCUGGUCUGAGAGGACGACCAGCCACACUGGAACUGAGACACGGUCCAGACUCCUACGGGAGGCAGCAGUGGGGAAUUUUGGACAAUGGGCGAAAGCCUGAUCCAGCCAUUCCGCGUGCAGGAUGAAGGCCCUCGGGUUGUAAACAGCUUUUGUACAGAACGAAAAGGUUUCUACUAAUACUAGGAGCUCAUGACGGUACUGUAAGAAUAAGCACCGGCUAACUACGUGCCAGCCGCCGCAGUAAUAC